GACCGGCGCACGGGUGAGUAACACGUAUGCAACCUGCCCGCCACAGGGGGAUAAGCGGAAGAAAUUCCGUCUAAUACCGCGUGACGCGGCGCCGGGGCAUCCCGGUGCCGCCAAAGGGAUUACCGGUGGCGGAUGGGCAUGCGGCGCAUUAGCUAGUCGGCGGGGUAACGGCCCACCGAGGCGACGAUGCGUAGGGGUUCUGAGAGGAAGGUCCCCCACACUGGUACUGAGACACGGACCAGACUCCUACGGGAGGCAGCAGUGAGGAAUAUUGGUCAAUGGGCGCGAGCCUGAACCAGCCAAGUCGCGUGAGGGAUGACGGUCCUACGGAUUGUAAACCUCUUUUGCCGGGGAGCAAGCGUGCGUUCGUGAACGCACGUCGAGAGUACCCGGAGAAAAAGCAUCGGCUAACUCCGUGCCAGCAGCCGCGGUAAUACGGAGGAUGCGAGCGUUAUCCGGAUUUAUUGGGUUUAAAGGGUGCGUAGGCGGGAUGCCAAGUCAGCGGUAAAAAUGCGGUGCUCAACGCCGUCGAGCCGUUGAAACUGGCGUUCUUGAGUGGGCGAGAAGUAUGCGGAAUGCGUGGUGUAGCGGUGAAAUGCAUAGAUAUCACGCAGAACUCCGAUUGCGAAGGCAGCAUACCGGCGCCCUACUGACGCUGAGGCACGAAAGCGUGGGUAUCGAACAGGAUUAGAUACCCUGGUAGUCCACGCAGUAAACGAUGAAUGCUAACUGUCCGGCGCGAAUGAGCGCUGGGCGGUACAGCGAAAGCGUUAAGCAUUCCACCUGGGGAGUACGCCGGCAACGGUGAAACUCAAAGGAAUUGACGGGGGC
rnacentral:rRNA from 1 species